rnacentral:sRNA from 1 species
AUCCCCAGAAGCGCCGAAAGCCCGCAAAGCGGACCCGUAUUGGUAGCAGCGUCGGACGUCUUUUCGCGUGCUUUGGAAAUGGCCCUUUAAAAACAGUCACUUACGAUUUUCUGCUGAUUUUUUGAAAAUCGUUGUUGACGUGUUGGAGGGCUGGGGUCUAUAAG